AGAGUUUGAUCCUGGCUCAGGAUGAACGCUGGCGGCGUGCCUAAUACAUGCAAGUCGAACGAAGUUACUUAUAACUUGUUAUUUGUAACUUAGUGGCGAACGGGUGAGUAACACGUAGGUAACCUGCCCUUAAGACGAGGAUAACCAUUGGAAACGAUGGCUAAUACUGGAUAGGUAUCAUUAAGAUAACUUUUUGAUAUUAAAGGACCACCGGUAUACUUAAGGAUGGGCCUGCGGCGCAUUAGUUUGUUGGUAAGGUAAUGGCUUACCAAGACUAUGAUGCGUAGCCGGACUGAGAGGUUGAACGGCCACAUUGGGACUGAGACACGGCCCAAACUCCUACGGGAGGCAGCAGUAGGGAAUUUUCGGCAAUGGAGGAAACUCUGACCGAGCAACGCCGCGUGAAUGAAGACGUAUUUCGGUAUGUAAAAUUCUUUUAUUAGGGAAGAAUGGUCUGUGGAAAAACAGAAUUGACGGUACCUAAUGAAUAAGCCCCGGCUAACUAUGUGCCAGCAGCCGCGGUAAUACAUAGGGGGCAAGCGUUAUCCGGAAUUAUUGGGCGUAAAGGGUGCGUAGGCGGCCAUUUAAGUCCUUGGUGUAAGUGCAGCGCUCAACGCUGUGAUGCUAAGGAAACUGGAUGGCUUGAGUGAGAUAGAGGCAAGUGGAAUUCCAUGUGUAGCGGUAAAAUGCGUAAAUAUAUGGAGGAACACCAGUGGCGAAGGCGGCUUGCUGGGUCUUCACUGACGCUGAGGCACGAAAGCGUGGGGAGCGAACAGGAUUAGAUACCCUGGUAGUCCACGCCGUAAACGAUGAGUACUAAGUGUUGGAGAAAUUCAGCGCUGUAGUUAACGCAAUAAGUACUCCGCCUGAGUAGUACGUACGCAAGUAUGAAACUCAAAGGAAUUGACGGGACCCCGCACAAGCGGUGGAUCAUGUUGUUUAAUUCGAAGAUACGCGAAAAACCUUACCAGGUCUUGACAUCCCUUGCAAUGCUGUAGAGAUACAGUGGAGGUUAUCAAGGAGACAGGUGGUGCAUGGUUGUCGUCAGCUCGUGUCGUGAGAUGUUGGGUUAAGUCCCGCAACGAGCGCAACCCUUAUUGCUAGUUGCCAUCAUUUAGUUGGGGACUCUAGCGAGACUGCCAGUGAUAAACUGGAGGAAGGUGGGGAUGACGUCAAAUCAUCAUGCCCCUUAUGACCUGGGCUACAAACGUGAUACAAUGGCUAUUACAGAGGGCCGCAAAGCUGUGAAGUGAAGCUAAACCCUUAAAAAUAGUCUCAGUUCGGAUUGAAGUCUGCAACUCGACUUCAUGAAGCCGGAAUCGCUAGUAAUCGCAAAUCAGAAUGUUGCGGUGAAUACGUUCUCGGGGUUUGUACACACCGCCCGUCAAACCACGGAAGUUAGCAAUACCCAAAGCCGGUGGCCUAACCGUAAGGAGGGAGCCGUUUAAGGUAGGGUUGAUGACUGGGGUUAAGUCGUAACAAGGUAUCCCUACGGGAACGUGGGGAUG
rnacentral:rRNA from 1 species